rfam:Cricetulus griseus cell line CHO-K1, whole genome shotgun sequence.
AGAUAACUGUCCUGGUAAGUCACCCCAUUGAUCACCAGGGUUGAUUCAGCUGACCUGGCUGUGUAGGGUGGUGUCCCCUUCCUCCCUCACCACUCCAUGUGUGUCCCGUUCCACUAUCGGUAGAAGAGGACGACCUUCCUGGAAUAGAGGAGGACAGGUCUUCAGUCUAGGGUAUACGAGUAGCUGGGCUCCCCUGCUAGAACCUCCAAACAAACUCUCAAGAUUUAGAUAAUAAUACAUGUUUCCCAAUUUACAGUAAGUUGACAAUGACUUCUUUGACUGUAUGAUAACAUCACAGCAGUGUGUAUUCAGCACAA